rnacentral:rRNA from 1 species
CCUACGGGAGGCAGCAGUGGGGAAUAUUGCGCAAUGGGGGCAACCCUGACGCAGCCAUGCCGCGUGAAUGAAGAAGGCCUUCGGGUUGUAAAGUUCUUUCGGUGACGAGGAAGGCGUGAUGUUUAAUAGGCAUCACGAUUGACGUUAAUCACAGAAGAAGCACCGGCUAACUCCGUGCCAGCAGCCGCGGUAAUACGGAGGGUGCGAGCGUUAAUCGGAAUAACUGGGCGUAAAGGGCACGCAGGCGGCUAUUUAAGUGAGGUGUGAAAGCCCCGGGCUUAACCUGGGAAUUGCAUUUCAGACUGGGUAGCUAGAGUACUUUAGGGAGGGGUAGAAUUCCAUGUGUAGCGGUGAAAUGCGUAGAGAUGUGGAGGAAUACCGAAGGCGAAGGCAGCCCCUUGGUAAUGUACUGACGCUCAUGUGCGAAAGCGUGGGGAGCAAACAGGAUUAGAUACCCGAGUAGUC